GACGAACGCUGGCGGCAUGCCUAACACAUGCAAGUCGAACGAGAACUUCGGGUCUUGUGGCGCACGGCUGCGUAACGCGUGGGAACCUGCCCUUAGGUUCGGAAUAACUCCCCGAAAGGGGUGCUAAUACCGGAUCAUGUCUUCGGACCAAAGAUUUAUCGCCUUUGGAUGGGCCCGCGUUGGAUUAGCUAGUUGGUAGGGUAAAAGCCUACCAAGGCGCCGAUCCAUAGCUGGUCUGGGAGGAUGAUUAUCAACACUGGGACUGAGACACGGCCCAGACUCCUACGGGAUGCAGGAGUGGGGAAUAUUGGACAAUGGGCGAAGGCCUGAUCCAGCAAUGCCGCGUGAGUGAUGAAGGCCGUAGGGUUGUAAAGCUCUUUUACCCGGGAUGAUAAUGACAGUACCGGGAGAAUAAGCUCCGGCUAACUCCGUG
rnacentral:rRNA from 1 species